AAAUUGAAGAGUUUGAUCAUGGCUCAGAUUGAACGCUGGCGGCAGGCCUAACACAUGCAAGUCGAACGGUAACAGGAAGCAGCUUGCUGCUUCGCUGACGAGUGGCGGACGGGUGAGUAAUGUCUGGGAAACUGCCUGAUGGAGGGGGAUAACUACUGGAAACGGUGGCUAAUACCGCAUAACGUCGCAAGACCAAAGAGGGGGACCUUCGGGCCUCUUGCCAUCAGAUGUGUCCAGAUGGGAUUAGCUAGUUGGUGAGGUAACGGCUCACCAAGGCGACGAUCCCUAGCUGGUCUGAGAGGAUGACCAGCCACACUGGAACUGAGACACGGUCCAGACUCCUACGGGAGGCAGCAGUGGGGAAUAUUGCACAAUGGGCGCAAGCCUGAUGCAGCCAUGCCGCGUGUAUGAAGAAGGCCUUCGGGUUGUAAAGUACUUUCAGCGGGGAGGAAGGUGUUGUGGUUAAUAACCGCAGCAAUUGACGUUACCCGCAGAAGAAGCACCGGCUAACUCCGUGCCAGCAGCCGCGGUAA
rnacentral:rRNA from 1 species